CCACCUCCACUCACUCAACGUUCUCUUGAAAGGCUGGGUUUAUCGACCCACUUCUGUGAGGCUGGCUCCUGGCUCUGUGCUGGGGUUACAGGCCGCAGUGGUGCUGGGAACGGGGAGAUGGCUGUGCUGGCUUGCUGGGCUCCACAGCUCCCACCCCCGGCGUUGAGAGCUUCAUGCUGAAAGGUUCAAGGGCAGAGAGAUGGCCCGUGGCCCACAUCCGCCCAGGCCCCCAAGGCAGGGCCUGUGGUUUCUGGCAUGAGCUUCACCUGUGGAAGCCACAGCCAGCCUUUGCUGCAGCCUGGAGCCUAAUCUAGAAUUACCAGGUGGCUGAGGCCCAGACAGGCUUUGUGCUGGGGUACUCAAGCAGAAAUCUGCCUCAGCCCGUCGUGAUCCUAUUAGGGAGUGGGGAAGUUAAUGAACAGUGUGUCUUUCUUGCCUUUCCUGUCUGCCUUCACACGCUGUGUUUAUCUACUUACUUAUGGAAAUCCAGGCCUUCUUAGUAGGCAGAGCAGAGAAACAGCUUCUUGUCUCUCUGGGAAACUGCACAAAUCAUUCCAUUCAGGCACAAGCCUCCAUCGGGCUGCUGAAGUCUAACUAAGAUGUCUUUAACCCUUCCUCCACCCAGCCCUGUCAUCUGAGUCAGCUCUCAGAAACAAGAGACGCUCAGAGAACAAAGAGGUUCCCAGAGGAGGGAUUUUGUUGCAAGCUACAAGAGCAGGAGAGGAGGAAGCAGCCGCAGAGCCAGAAAUUGGAAGAAGGAGCCCGUGAAGGUCGUGCGUGGCGGUAAAGCCGUGGAGGACUUCUUGUGUGCACACACCUACUUGCCUCAGGACGUGAGUUGGUUCUUCUUUACACAGAAUCCUGAAAUGCAGACCCUGAGCCGGAGGCUGAGGCUCCUGCCUGACGGGCCGGCCCUCGCUGAGGUGGCUUGUCAGCACCCGUGUCUGGGGGUCCCCGUGCACAUCCCCACCAACACUUGCGACUAUGGUUUUUUACACUUUUUUCCUAAUAUAAGAGGGAAGAAAAAUCUCAAGUUUGUACUGGACAAUCUUUUAAAGUUUUUUGGCAAUUUCC